UUAAAACUUUCAGUUGUAUGAAAUAUGUUGUAAAUUCCCGAUCUUACAAUGGUGGAAGCAAUUGUUUCCAAUCAAACCCCAACCACUUGUAAUGUAAUCUGAGUAAAUUUUCUUUUUAGCGAAGUUUUACAUUUAACAAAUAUUCUGCCAAAUCCGAGAGAAAAGAAUUUGUUAAAAAUAAACUUUCCUUUAAAAAAUGCAAUUAAAAUACUCGAAAUAUUACAUCUAUGACGUAAAACUCGUGACGUAACGCGUGACGCAUUGCAACGACAAAUUCGAAUUCGUUCCAUUUCGUAUUGUUGCCGACGCCAUCUUGGAAAUUUAUGCUUUCCGGAAAUUGCGAGUUCUUUUUCCCUCCAUUUUAACAUUUUUCGUACAAAUUUUAAUAAUGAAAACUCGCGUAACGUAGGUAACUUAAUAUUUUUCGAUUUAUAUCAAAAUUAAAUAAUUUAAAUUAGAUACGCUUUAAACCUAGAUUUGCGGCCUGUAACCUGUAAGGUUACGGAAUGCGUUUUUAUAAUUUUAUUUAUUAUUACAAAUAUCUUAGCGAUAUUUUACAAAAAAAGAGGACUAUUUUAGCAUUUUAAAGAAAACAUUUGCAAUUAGUUAAUAUUCUGACGUAGAACUUAUGACGUAACGUGUGACGCAUUUAUCGCACGUUCCACCGAUUCGAAUUCGUUCGAUUUCGUAUUGCCGACGCCAUCUUGAAAUAGAAAGUUUUCUGGAAAUUGCGAGUUAUUUUUCCCUCCAUUUCGAGAUUUUUCGUAAAUGUUUAAUUACAUAAACCCGAAUAACGCAGGCAAUGAAGAAGUAUCAUUCUCAGAUUUUAUAAUCCACUUUCUAAAGAGACAUGGAAUCAUUUUAAAAACUUCUUGUGCUCAAAAAAUUAACAUGAAGCAAAACAAAGGAAAAAUUUAACUGAUUGUGAGCACUUAAAGCCAGGAGUUGUGUGACAUCAUUUAGGCUUCUGACAUACCAAUAGAGCAGCUAUGUGACAUGUAUGUAUGAAAAUUACUUUGUGGAUAAUCAACUCAAUGGUUAUCUGCUCCACACACCUUCCUUUAGAAAAUGUUGAUAUUGAACUUUGUCACUGCAAUCUUUUAACAAACAUUUCCAUUAUGACAAAGAGCAUGCAACAUUUUCUUCUAUAAAUGGUCAGUGAACUACUUUACUUUACUUUUAUAUUCCCGGGACCAUUUUAAUUUUAAAUUUUGUAAAAAUUGGCAUUCAGAGUUUGAUUUGUCUUGAUGUUCAUUUUGGAUUAAUUAGCCCUAUGUUAAUUAAGCACAAUAAAAUUAGGUUCAAAUUUUCUUUAUCAUAUAUAAUGUAAUAGAGAUAGCUGUAAAAGCAGAUUAUAAAUUAUGAAUUAUUGU